rnacentral:rRNA from 1 species
GUUUGAUCCUGGCUCAGAUUGAACGCUGGCGGCAUGCCUUACACAUGCAAGUCGAACGGCAGCACGGGUGCUUGCACCUGGUGGCGAGUGGCGAACGGGUGAGUAAUACAUCGGAACAUGUCCUGUAGUGGGGGAUAGCCCGGCGAAAGCCGGAUUAAUACCGCAUACGAUCUACGGAUGAAAGCGGGGGACCUUCGGGCCUCGCGCUAUAGGGUUGGCCGAUGGCUGAUUAGCUAGUUGGUGGGGUAAAGGCCUACCAAGGCGACGAUCAGUAGCUGGUCUGAGAGGACGACCAGCCACACUGGGACUGAGACACGGCCCAGACUCCUACGGGAGGCAGCAGUGGGGAAUUUUGGACAAUGGGCGAAAGCCUGAUCCAGCAAUGCCGCGUGUGUGAAGAAGGCCUUCGGGUUGUAAAGCACUUUUGUCCGGAAAGAAAUCCUUGGCUCUAAUACAGUCGGGGGAUGACGGUACCGGAAGAAUAAGCACCGGCUAACUACGUGCCAGCAGCCGCGGUAAUACGUAGGGUGCGAGCGUUAAUCGGAAUUACUGGGCGUAAAGCGUGCGCAGGCGGUUUGCUAAGACCGAUGUGAAAUCCCCGGGCUCAACCUGGGAACUGCAUUGGUGACUGGCAGGCUAGAGUAUGGCAGAGGGGGGUAGAAUUCCACGUGUAGCAGUGAAAUGCGUAGAGAUGUGGAGGAAUACCGAUGGCGAAGGCAGCCCCCUGGGCCAAUACUGACGCUCAUGCACGAAAGCGUGGGGAGCAAACAGGAUUAGAUACCCUGGUAGUCCACGCCCUAAACGAUGUCAACUAGUUGUUGGGGAUUCAUUUCCUUAGUAACGUAGCUAACGCGUGAAGUUGACCGCCUGGGGAGUACGGUCGCAAGAUUAAAACUCAAAGGAAUUGACGGGGACCCGCACAAGCGGUGGAUGAUGUGGAUUAAUUCGAUGCAACGCGAAAAACCUUACCUACCCUUGACAUGGUCGGAAUCCCGCUGAGAGGUGGGAGUGCUCGAAAGAGAACCGGCGCACAGGUGCUGCAUGGCUGCCGUCAGCUCGUGUCGUGAGAUGUUGGGUUAAGUCCCGCAACGAGCGCAACCCUUGUCCUUAGUUGCUACGCAAGAGCACUCUAAGGAGACUGCCGGUGACAAACCGGAGGAAGGUGGGGAUGACGUCAAGUCCUCAUGGCCCUUAUGGGUAGGGCUUCACACGUCAUACAAUGGUCGGAACAGAGGGUUGCCAACCCGCGAGGGGGAGCUAAUCCCAGAAAACCGAUCGUAGUCCGGAUUGCACUCUGCAACUCGAGUGCAUGAAGCUGGAAUCGCUAGUAAUCGCGGAUCAGCAUGCCGCGGUGGAUACGUUCCCGGGUCUUGUACACACCGCCCGUCACACCAUGGGAGUGGGUUUUACCAGAAGUGGCUAGUCUAACCGCAAGGAGGACGGUCACCACGGUAGGAUUCAUGACUGGGGUGAAGUCGUAACAAGGUAGCC